rnacentral:lncRNA from 1 species
AUGUUUUGGUAAAUGCUUGAUUUUACAAGGUAGCGCAAAUUAAUAUUAAAGUUACCACAAAUUUAAUUUAUUCUUCUGUGAUUAAUAUUGGCUUAAAAAGACUAGCAUCUUGUCAUGCGGUGGGAGGUCAGGUUAGACUGAAUCAUGUUCAAAAUAACGAAAGAUCGGGUUGGAUCGAGUCAUCUUUGAAGUGGCGUGAGGCUAGUGAGAUCGAAUCACAAUUUAAAUUUGUGGAUACUGUAUCAACACGCUUUAAGUGAAUUAAUUACGUAUUUUUAAUAGUUUGAAAUUUUGAAAUUAAUGAUUAACGCCAACAAUCCGAUAAUUCAAAAACUAUUUUAGCUGACCA